rnacentral:lncRNA from 1 species
GUUUGACUCUCUCGUAUACCCUUCUUAGCAUGCCUUCCAUAUAUCCGUGCAUAUGACCCAUCUUAAAUAUAUAGUCAAGUUCUAUUCAAAGUUCAUGCUGGUUGCUAGCAUAGAGUAUCGCUCUUCUAAAAAAAUAUCUGAAUGCAGAGAGUUUAUACUUCAUCAGAUCAUACGACCAUCGUGGUAUUAUGACAGGUUCAUAUAUAGCUUUUCUAUAAACUGUUGUGUAAAGUACCCUGUUCUCUACUUUGAGUUGUAUAUCUAAGAAGUGAGCCUCGCGUUUACUCGUUUGUUGUCUCUGGAGCACUGUUCCAUACGCCUCCUCUGUUAGGGCUGCCUCCAAGAGCUCAGGACAUAUGCCUUCCUCCCAUACGGUGAGGAUGUCAUUGAUGUACCUCAGAUAAAAUUUCAUGGCUGGCCAUAUAUUAUUCAACUUCUUCGACUCCAGCUCCCUUAAAAUCAUCUCCCCAAUGGGGCUCCCUAUGGGAACUCUGCGCUGCUGUAAAUAAUACUUUCCGUCAAAUGUGAAAUACGAUUUGUGCGUUAUCAUGUGAGCUAAGUCUCUAAGUAAGGAGGCUUCUAUUUGCAAAUCUACCAUGUUGGCCAACAAGAAUCGGUACAACAUUAUACAUGCUGGUUCGACUUUAAGUGAUG